AUUACAUAGGCUUUACCUUCUCCUUCAGCUUGGCAGUGAUUCUCUUUUGUUUUUCUUCCUCCUCUUUUUCCCUCAGCUGUUUCUCAUGGAGCUUUGCUCCCACCUUGUGAAUGUCCUACAGAAAGAUAAAUCAGCUCAUGAUGCCAUUCCUCAUGUUGCUCAAUCUCCUCAAGUGUUUUACCAGGCAGGUAAAGCUUGGCUUCCUUCCUGUAAGCUGGCUGCCCACUGUACUUUGUCCAGAUCUGUGGAUCAACAAACAUCAGAGUUUGAUGGUCGUACUGGUCCCAUCCACCACAGGCUCCACCUGACUUCUGUAGGAAACACUCCAGUGGUCUGACGUCUGCAGGAAGGUUACUGUCUAGAAGUUUGGUCUAAUGGAAAACAAAGCUCACCUGCCUUCAAUCAACUCAUCACUCUGACUGCAUAAAAAUCCUGGCCUUUCUCCCACUCCUUGUCAGAUCAUUUGUUCAGCCACCGUGGUAGUUAACGUCCUGAUCGACUUCAACUAUUGUUCUUUGUGCUUCCCGUUGAUUUAUGGAAUGAUCUUUAAUCACUGAUCCUCUUGUGCUCAGGUCCACCUCCUGCUACCUGCUUGCCUGCUCUCCACCAGCCAUCUCCGGACAGCCUACACUCUGUGCCUCCUCUACUGCUUUACCUCAGCCAUUUCCUCCAUCUCAUUAUCGGACCCUCUCCUUCCCCUUUUUCUCCCACAGCAAAAUAAAUCCUUAUUUCUCACCUACCGUUGUCUGAGCCUGCAUUUUGGGUCAUUACCGGUGUAAAUCAUGACAAACAUACUGGAUCACAACAUUAGUAUUAACAGUAUUUUCACCAUCUUAAGAUGGUGUUGGUUGGAAGGGUACUGAGUAAAAUACAUAAUAAAAAUAAGUCAUGAAGUAAAUCUAUUCUAUUCUACUCCAUUCACACUGU